UUCUGAAUGUAAGAGUUUGAUCCAAAAGGAGAAUUAACAGAGAGCCAGCAGAAAGCAAGGGAAGUUGAACAAAAAAUGGGAGAUGACUGGUGAAGGAUAAUCAGUUGAUUCUAAUUUGAGGGAAAACUGACACAGAAAAUCAGGCAACCACAGCAAGCCUUUGAAGACGGUAAUAGUCACAUAAACAUGGGCUCCUGUGAAGAAGAGGAAAUUCAAAGUUCAGCCUGGGGCUCUCCCCACUCAAGAGACAGCUCGUCACCAAUGUGAUGACUUGUCAACUCCACUACUUUUGCCUGAGAAAGUGAAAUGAGCAAUUAAAUUUUCCCAGCAUGUAUACUCACACUUCCAUCCAUGUGCAUAAAUGGUACCUAAUUUAUCUCCCCACUAAAAUUAACUAGAAAACUGGGCAAAUAUAUAUGAAAUAGUAAUUUUCAGCCAUAGGACACUGACAGCACAGGAGUAUGAUUCCUGAAAGAAGGAAAAAAAUAAGAUGAGCCUGACAAUUAUCCUGGAUUACAACCUGAAGCAGUUUCCAGUUCACAGCACAAGAAGGGAAACUAAAGAGACCCCUGAAUGAGGUGGUGGAGACCCUAGGGCUACAAAUGUGAUAAAAUUUCGUAGAAUUGUGUGCCCCCCAAAAUGAGUGUGUGUAAAAACCAGUUGAGUUAAGAGUAUUUUUGUAAUGUCAGUUUUCUGGCUUUGCUAAACUUGUUAUAUAAUAUAAUGUAAGAUGCUGUCAUCGGGGAAAGCUGGGUAAACGGUAUAUGGAACUCUCUGUAUUAAAUUUACAACUUCUGUGUGAGUUUAAAAUUAUAUCCAAAUAAAAAUGUUCUUUUAAAUAGAAGCUAAAGGUGUUUUAGAGGAAGAAACAUUAAGUGAAUUCUCAUUGCUACCAGAUUUUUGUUUUAUUGAAGUAUAAUUGCUUUACAAUGUUGUGUUAGUUUCUGCUGUACAAUGAAGUGAAUCAGCUGUAUGUAUACAUAUAUAUCCUCCCUCUUGGACCUCCCUCCCACCCCACCCCCCAGGCCACCAAUCUAGGUCAUUACAGAGCACUGAGCUGAGCUCCCUUUGCUCUACAGCAGGUUCCCACUAACUAUUUUACACAAAGUAGUGUGUAUAUGUCAAUCCUAACCUCCCAGUUCAUCCCACCCUCCCCUUCCCCCACUGUGUCCACAUGUCCAUUCUCUACGUCUGCAUCUCUAUUCUUGCCCUGCAAAUAGGUUCAUCUGUACUAUUUUUCUAGAUUCCACAUAUAUGCGUUAAUACACGAUAUUUGUUUUACUCUUUCUGACUUACUUCGUUCUGUAUGACACUCUCUAGGUCCAUCCACAUCUCUACAAAUGACCCAAUUUUGUUCCUUUUUAUGGACGAGUAAUAUUCCAUUGUAUAUAUGUACCACGUCUUCUUUAUCCAUUCAUCUGUCGAUGGGCAUUUAGGUUGCUUCCAUGACCUGGCUAUUGUAAAUAGUGCUCCAAUGAACAUUGGGGUGCAUGUGACCUUUUGAAUUAUGGUUUUCUCUGGGUAAAUGCCCAGUAGUGUGAUUGCUGGUUCAUAUGGUAAUUCUAUCUUUAGUGUUUUAAGGAACCUCCAUACUGUUCUCCAUAGUGGCUGUAUCAGUUUACAUUCCCACCAACAGUGCAAGAGGGUUCCCUUUUCUCCACACCCUCUCCAGCAUUUGUUGUUUGUAGAUUUUCUGAUGAUGCCCAUCCUAACUGGUGUGAGGUGAUACCUCAUUGUAGUUUUGAUUUGCAUUUCUGUAAUAAUCAGUGAUGUUGAGCAGCUUUUCAUGUGCCUCUUGGCCAUCUGUAUGUCCUCUUUGGAGAAAUGUCUAUUUGGUCUUCUGCCCAUUUUUUAAGUGGAUUGUUUGUUUUUUUGAUAUUGAGCUCCAUGAGCUGUUUGUAUAUUUUGGAGUUUAAUCCUUUGUCUGUUGUUUCAUUUGCAAAUAUUUUCUCCCAUUCUGAGGGUUGCCUUUUUGUCUUGUUUAUAGUUUCCUUUGCUGUGCAAAAGCUUUUAAGUUUAAUUAAGUCCCAUUUCUUUAUUUUUGUUUUUAUUUCUGUUACUCUAGCAGGUGGGUCAUAAAAGAUCUUGCUGUGGUUUUUCAAAGAGUGUUUUUCCUAUGUUUUCAUCUAAGAGUUUCAUAGUGUCUGGUCUUACAUUUAAGUCUUUAAUCGAUUUGGAGUUUAUUUUUGUGUAUGAUGUUAGGGAGUGUUCUAAUUUCGUUCUUUUACAUGUAGCUGUCCAGUUUUCCCAGCACCACUUACUGAAGAGACUGUCUUUUCUCCAUUGUAUGUUCUUGCCUCCUUUGUCGUAAAUUAGGUGCCCACAUGUGUGUGGAUUUAUCUCUGGGCAUUGUAUCCUCUACCAUUGAGCAAUAUUUCUGUUUUUGUACCAGUACCAUACUGUCUUGAUUACUGUAGCUUUGUGGUAUAGUUUGAAGUCAGGGAGCCUUAUUCCUCCACUCCGUUUUUCUUUCUCAAGAUCGCUUUAGUUAUUCAGGGUCUUUUGUGUUUCCAUACGAACUGUAAAAUUUUUUGUUCUAAUUCUGGGAAGAAUGACGUUGGUAAUUUGAUAGGGAUUGCAUUGAAUCUGUAGAUUGCUUUGGGUAGUAUAGUCAUUUUCACAAUAUUGAUUCUUCCAAUCCAAGAACAUGGUAUAUUUCUCCAUCUGUUUAUGUCAUCUUUGAUUUCUUUCAUUAGUGUUUUAUAGUUUUCUGAGUACAAGUCUUUCACCUCCUUAGGCAGGUUUAUUCCUAGGUAUUUUAUUCUUUUUGUUGCAAUGGUAAAUGGGAGUGUUUCCUUAAUUUCUCUUUCUGAUUUUUCACUGUUGGUGUAUAGGAAUGACAGAGAUUUCUGUGCAUUAACUUUGUAUCCUACAACCUUACCAGAUUCAUUGAUUAGUUCUAGUAGUUUUCUGGUGGCAUCUUGAGGAUUUUCUAUGUAUCGUAUCAUGUCAUCUGCAAACUUUUUCUUUUCCAAUUUUGUUUUUGUUUUUCUUUUUUGGCGGUAUGCAGGCCUCUCACUGUUGUGGUCUCUCCCGUUGUGGAGCACAGGCUCCGGACGCGCAGCCUCAGCGGCCAUGGCUCACGGGCCCAGCCGCUCCGCGGCGUGUGGGAUCUUCCCAGACUGGGGCACAAACCCGUAUCCCCUGCAUCGGCAGGCGGACUCUCAACCACUGCGCCACCAGGGAAGCCCUUCUUUUCCAAUUUUUAUUCCAUUUAUUUCUUUUUUCUUCUCUGAUUGCUGUGGCUAUCAGGACUUCCAAAACUAUGUUGAAUAAGAGUGGUGAGAGUGGACUUCCUUGUCUUGUUCCUGAUCUUAGUGGAAAUGGUUUCAGUUUUUCAACAUUGACUGUGAUUCUUGCUGUUUGUUUGUCAUAUAUGGUCUUUGUUAUGUUGAGGUAGUUUCCCUGUUUGCCCAUUUUCUGGAGAGUUUUUAUCAUAAAUGGUGUUGAAUUUUUUCAAAAGCUUUUUCUGCAUCUAUUGAGAUGAUCAUAUGGUUUUUAUUCCUUAAUUUUUUAUGUGGUGUAUCACACUGAUUGAUUUGCAUAUAUUGAAGAAUACUUGCAUCCCUGGGAUAAGUCCCACUUGAAACUUUUAAUGUGUUGGAAGCCCCUAUUUGCUAGUAUUUUGUUCAGUAUGUUUGCAUCUAUGUUCAUCAGUGAUAUGGGUCUAUAAUUUUCUUUUUUUGUGAUAUCUUUUUCUGGUUUUGGUAUCAGGGUGAUGGUGGCUUCAUAGAAUGAAUUUGGGAAUGUUUCUCCCUCUGCAAUUUUUUGGAAGAGUUUGAGAAGGAUAAGUGUUAGCUCUUCUCUAAAUGUUUGAUAGAAUUUACAUGUGAAACCAUCUGGUCCUGGACCAGAUAAUGCUUGAACUUCACCUUGAUGCCAACUAAUCAAGGAAUUGUGCAUGAGCUGAGAACGCACCCUGCAGACCCCCGCCCCGUCCCACUGCCUUUAAAACCCCUUCUCUGAAAGCCAUCAGGCACUUCAGGUCUUUUGCAGAUGAGCUGCCCAUUCUUCUUUCUUGGCACUGGCAAUAAACGCUGAACUUCUCUUCACCACAACCUGGUGACAGUAGACUGGCUUUACUACGCACGGGUGAGUGGACCUAAGUUUGGUUUGGUAACACGGCCUUCCUGCCCUCAUCCUUCUUACGACCCUCCUUCUGACCCCCACUUCCACCCUGAGGUUUAACAGCUCAAAGUCCACUUGGAAUCUCUCUCAACCUUCCACUCAGCGCUCAGCUAUGUCACCUGGUCUCUUCUCCUUCACGGCAAACUUUCCCAUCUCCAGAGCCACUAGGAAGCCAUGCAGACCCCUCUGGGGGGCUCGCACAGGAGGGCUGAAAUGAUUUCCCUUCAUGGGGCCAGUGGGACCCGCGCCCCAGGUGGGGAUGAGGUGUGAAGAAGAGCGAGUCUCUAUGGGAGAGAAACGGAAGGGAAGGGAAGAAAGCAGGGACAGGAAGGGGGAAACGAGACCAAAAGGUGAGGCUGGAGGAGAGGAAGAGUGUGCCGUGACCUCAAGUUCAAGCUUUCAAAUAUUCAUAAAUUCUCUCCUCACCCUCUAAAAUCAAACAGGUGCAUUGGAACUUAACUUUGGAAUUCAAGUAGGAGCUCAGGCUGAAAGAGGCAACAUGUCAGAGUUAGUGGGAUAAUCGUUUAAAUCGUAGGAGUAACCCAAACUCUACAUUUUAAAAAGCAAAGAAUUAAAACAAGAAAAUGUCAAGGCUUCUCUUUUCUGAAUUGUAGAUUUAGAAUAGUAGAUACCUAAAUUGUACCUUCAUGCUUUUUUUAAUCAGAGAAGUGAAAAUAAUCACUCUUUCCUAAUAACAGGCUUUCCAUGGGUAGGUAGAGGACAUUUUCUGCUCCAUUCAGUAAGUGGAAGAGGGAGUAAAGGGCGUUCUUGACAAGGGAAAUAAAGCCUCUGGAAAUUGUCUUAAUAGCAGGCUGGGAGUUCAGGCAACAGGGGUGACCUCAGCUUUCCUGGGGCUGCCCUCACCCCCUCCCACCCCUGAUCCGUUUCACCAUGACUCAAGGUUCCCCAGAUACUCCAGCUGCUGGUGCCUCUUCUCCAGAUACAGAGGGUGAAGGUCAUUACCAGCAGAUGACACACUCGUGCCCACUCAUCCUGUAGGUCCCACCACAGUUGCCAACUUCUUCGCCAAGUUUCCCCAGGUCAAGGUCACACUUUCCACUUUCUGUUACAGGUUUUUGCUUGCGUGUUUGUGUCCUCAGCGGACUCCUUUCCUGCAGUUACGGGAAACAGAGAACUCAGUUUUAACUCUCAGCUGGAACGGAAAAGAAUCUAAGAUUUCAACUGUCUCUGAAGCUGAGAUGCUCCAGAGUCAAAUAUCAAAGGAAAAAGUCAAAUGCAACAGCAGUUACCUAAUCGGAGUUCACACCUGUACCAAGAACAUAAUCAGAGCCAAGCAUUGAUUUUUUCAAUGGAAACCUACAAGACAACAUCAAAUAUGCAAGGUGGGGGGGGGGGGAGAGAGAGAGAGAGAGAGAGAGAGAGAGAGGAAAUGAGAGGAAGAGAGGAGUCUGUGAUGGCCAGUAGAGUAUAACCAACAGUUUUCUCAGAUCUGAACCUCGGUGCUGUAGUUUACUUGGCAAAGCCCUGAAUUAGCAGGAGACCUGUAUUUUAACACCCUCCCAUGAGGAAAAACUAAUUUGCAUUUGGUUAAAGCUAUUUAAAUGAAACAGGUUAAUUUUUUCUAACCAUUGUUUAAAUAAGUGCAGCAAUCUUGAUGGUUUCCCCUGGGAGGAGUACAGUCCUGGGAGGCUGACGUUCACUUCCUGCCCCAGAGAGGUGACUGCCUGAUCCUGGAUCACAAAUAUUCAGUCAACCGGAUGUGAGCUGCAUCUCACGGUGAAUCUCUACGGAGUCUCCAAUCACACUAGAUCACACAUCCCUGUGUUGUUUUAUUGGCCGUCUUCCCCCAUAGAAUGUGAGCCCCCCUAGGGCAGAGAUGGCUGUCUCUUUUACUCCCUGCUGUUAUCCACACCAAGAACAGCGUCCAGCACAUAAAAGGUGUUCAAAAUCUAUUCAUUCGGUGAAUGAAGAAGUGAAUGCGUGAUUAGUGAGCCCUCAGGUCUAAAGGAGACACAUUGUCUGUAAUAUGUGUUACGUAGAUUAGAUGCAGCGUCCAUUUCCCAGACCCCUGGUGCUGACUCCCCAGCAUCCCAUCUUUGGGUCCAUGUCACCAGCAGCCUCUCCUCCUCAUUAGACCCAAUAAGCAUGUGAAGAACCAACAGAAUCAGGCAGUCAGGCUUUCUCUGGAUGGGACUUCCUACCCCCACUAGACGGAGGACGAUGGAAGACCCUCUGCUUGUUUACACGCUCAUAACUUAGAUUUCAUAAAGAAGACAUUGUGAACGUUUUGGAAUAGGAAACAUGUUGGAGGAGGUCAUCGAGAGGACGUGACCACCAGCUGACCCUCAAGGUGGACCCAGGCAGUGGAGGUUCCUCAUCCCAUCCCCACAUUUGAAGGUGCAUCUGCCCACCGUUCCACAGCGAGAGCCCUUCCGAGGACGCAGCCUUGAGAGAGCGAGCCGGCGCUGAGACCACCUAGUGUGGACAUCUAAUCAUCUGUGGCCCCCAAGAGAAGCCUCAUAGGGCUCCUUAUGGCCAACACCAGCGGAAGAUACUGGGAACGCAAGAUCCUCCCUGCCGUGGCUGAGCUCACAGAAUGUUGAAGGAGCUGGACAGGAAGGAAAGAGGGUGGUAAGAUGAGUUCGACUUUACAUCUGCGAGUGAGUCACACACGGGGAGUGAAGGCUCAGACAGAAGUUAUUUCUCAGCGACAGACCGGUAGGAGGGCCGACAUGAAAACCUGGUUCCUUGCCUCCGAAAGCAGCGUCUUAGCAAAGGUCAGAUGCUUUAUGUAUUAAAUCACUCACUGGACGACUUGUCAGUUAAGCACACGCCCUGCUAGGAGAGAGAUGAAGAGGCAGUAGCCCUGCCUUCAGGGAACUCAUUGGACUAAAGCAUUGGACGUCAGGUGUUUUCUGGUGAACCAGGCAAAUACCUUCUGGAGGGAAACUUCAAUCCCCACCUGCCUGACCGGGGCGGGGGUGGGGAUCCUCUAGGCUCCGCUUAAAUGCUUGCGAUCAGAACAGCCCAGGGUGGCGACAGGUUCCUCCCUACAUCGGAGUGGGAGAGAAAAGCCCUCUUUGUCUCCACCUUUCUCUGUCUUCACACCUCCCACAGGUCACCCGAGAACUCACCUCCGAGCCAGGCGGGACCUUCUACCCUUGCGUCUGAGAAGAGACAGCACUGCCUCCUGGUGGCCAACUCGAGGCUCUACAGAGUGGCAAGCCGGCCAGGGCCACCUUCUCUGGAUCGAUUCGGAGAGGGAAAGGGGACAGGCUUCCCCCUGUUCUUCAGCAAAAAGGUGAGCAUAACUGAGACCGAGUGUGGCUCUGGCGGCCAGCAUCCUUGCCAUGACCCUCACCUGCACCGGUGAUGCUGCAGCGCCCUCCUCCCACUCAGGGUUCAUGCCUUCCAGCCCUCUUUCCCCCAUGUAGGAAGCUUCUCCCAAUGAGGACCUAGGAGCUGUCACUUCUGGUUGCUAUUGAAGCCAUAACCCAUGCGGUUCACACCAGGAGAGCUCUGUCACAAGGAUUUUUAAAAAAAAACAUUGUACAAACAGGAGGAAAACAGGAGUCUUUAUUUGUUACAAUAUUGCUUCUGUUUUUAUGUUUUGUUUUUUUGGCUCUAAGGCUUGUGGGAUCUUAGCUCCCCAAGCAGGGAUCGAACCUGCACCCCAUGCAUUGGAAGGCAGAGUCUUAACCACUGGACCACCAGGGAAGUCCCUCUGCCUUACCCGUUUGAAUGGUGCAAAACCCAGAUGAGUCUUGGAGGAUGACUGUGGGUUAUCGCACACUUAAUCAGGUGCUCAUGUCCAUCAUAACUGUAGUUCCACAUGUGGUAUCUUUACCGAAGCAAAUCAACAUUGCUCUACCACCGAGUAUACGGCUGUUGACCUGGCAUAUAUUGAUAAUUUUCCCCAUUUCUAUCAGUAAAGAUGAUCAGAAACAACUCAUUCUCUUGUGGCAGGAGCAUCAGCACCCCUACAUCAUCCAUCUCUCCUGCUUUGGUCCUAAGACAGACCAGAGGGAAUUGAAUGUCUUAACAUCACAUCAGGUACCACAUCACGUUGAUGACGUUUUGCUCACUGGAGCUGAUGAGAGGAAGUAGCAAGGGGAGAGGGUAAGAGAGAAGCCCCGCAGAGUUUGGAGACCUAAAGUCUUUCACUUUCACUCUAAAGGGAAAAUAUACUGUGACACUUUGUAGCACCCAUUUCAAAGAAAUAGACGUAACUGUUGAUGGACUUUUUGCUUUCUGAAGGCUACAUAUAGGAUAUGUAAGCAUGAUCUUGUAACAUGAUUAUUGAGUAACGCUUAAGAUGGCCAGUUUGCGGGGGGGGGGGGAGCGGGUGGAAAGAGUAAAGAACAAGAAGGUCUACUGCUUAGACUUCCGUAUCAUGUCCAGGAAGUAGUUCAAGCUGUCUUGUCACUUAUGCUGUGUGUCAAGAUAUGCUACGGUAUUUCCUGUGUGUGAGGCAGAUAAUAUAUUUUAACAGCAACUGAAAAAUCCCAAAGAAAGAAUCACUGCAUGGUCCCUUGGGUUUGGGAAUGAAGCCAUGCCGUCUUCUGCCAGUAACUAGCCUCAAGUUGGUAAGCAGUUCCUGGCCUCCUAUUGACCCCGGUGGAAACUUAGUGCUUGACCCCCCAAGUGAUUGCCCAUCAUCACUGUUUUUUUCCCAAAUCCACCCAUCCCUGUGUGGAGCUGUAAUACAUUUGGUUAUCUAUGUGUAUAUUAUGCAAAUCCAUCUGCAAACCAGACCUACCCUUUUUGUUAACUUUUCAUAGGGAACCCUCAUGAGGCCACAGGUGUGUGUUGAGGGCAAAGCAGUAGACGCAGAAAUAGGCACAGUUUCCAGGUGAGUAAAUGACCCAGCUACCUGUGCAAUUAACUUGUGCCUGUUCUGAUAUAUACCAUUUCCAAGGGAUAAUUUAAUAUUACUGUUAAUAUCCAAUCUUAUGAUUUGGAAUAUCAGGAAAAAACAUUCAGUUGAUGGUGGGCAGCUCGGGGUGGCUAACAUUUUAUCUUUCAGGUAUUGACAUCACUCAAUCUAUACGGCAGCUCAUGGAACUUUGUUGUCCCCGGCAUUGAGAACACAUUUAUUUUACUUGAAUGCCAAACAGGUGAGUGAAGCUUUGGAGGGGACAGAAAGAAUGAACAGUACUGGACACUUUCAUUAUACCAUCCAAACCCACCCUCUGCCUUUCUUCCAUCCGCCCCUACCCUGGGAGGCUGAACUGGCUGGACUUCGUCCAUGGUUCCCUUUGCCAUCUGGCUUCUGGUUGUUUCGCAUAAAUGGGAAGCAUUGGUGGAGACUGGACUGGACGACAGAGUGAGAUCAGGGUACUUAUUUCCUGCUUUCCUCUGUGAUGGGUCGUUAUAUGUUGAAGUAAGUUUCUCUACCAAGACCACAGCCCCUGUCAGGAAACCCUCUGCUACAACAACAGCUACUAUCUCUGGGUUCUGGUCAACUUUGCCUCUCCUUAACCUUCAGUCCUGAGGGUAGUAGUGGCUCCUCCAUCUUGCUAGUUUAGAGCAUUUCAACCAUCGCUCUUGGUUUCCUGUAACCCUGCUUACAUAUUUAUGAGCAGCCUCUUCAUUAAACCUUCCUCAAUUACCCACUUGAGUACGGCAUCUGCUUCCUGCUAGAGUGUGAGUGAUACACAUUCAGAUCAGAUUCUCAGAGCAAAACUCCAAGUAAUUAGAAAUCAGCAACAAGCACAGACUUAAAUGGACUCAAAUUACUCAAGAUAAUAAGUUAUUCACAUAGGAAACUAAGACAUAUUUAGAAUUGAAUAACAAAAAGUGUACUACAUCAUAGUCAUCUAUAGUAGGACCAAGAAAAAGGGGAAAUAUGUGCAUUAAUAAAAGAAAAAGAUUAAAAGUAAAUGUCUGAAGAACUUAAAAGCUUAGAAUAAGCUUUUAAAAAUAGGGCAGACAUAAUAGGUAGGAAAUCAAUAAAAUGGAAAAAGAAAAAAGCAAAUGAGCUUCAACAAAAGAAAAAUUUGCUUUUUAAAAACCUCUAAGAAAGAUCAAGAAGAGAGAAGAAAAGGAACAAAACAUUUCUUGCUAGUUAUCAAGACUUACAAAACUGUAGUAAUGGAAACACUAUGAUAUCAAUGCCAACAUAUAUAAUAGAAAAGAAUGCCUAUUAAUUAUAGAACAUUGAUAAAUGACAUUGCAAAUCAGAGAAGAAAAGCUAAGCUAUUCAAUAAAUAGAGCUGGGAAAAUUGUUUACGCAUACAUUAAAAAAUCUGAUACCUACCUCACACCACAAAAAGAAAACAAUUUUAAUGAAUUAACUAUCAAUAUAUAAAAAUCAAACCCCCAAAUCUUACCAAAAAAUAAAGACAGUGCCUUGGGGAAAAGAAGCAAUUAUUAAACAAGUGACAAAAAUCACAAUCAAUGAAGAAAAAGAUGGAUAAGUUUAAAUUUAUAUAUGUACAUGUAAAGCAUGACUAAUAUAUAUAAUGUUUACAGAACUGUACAUGUAUUAUAUAAUCAUCAUAAAAAGGUAUUUAUUCACCCAGGAAAGUAAGCCACUACCGUGUGCCAAUAGCUCUCCAAACUGCUGUAGAUACGACAGCAAAGCUGACGUGAUCUCUGCCCCGGACCGUACGUUGGCAGAUAAGCAGACAGGUUGAACAACACUGCACUUAAUAACACGAUGAAAAUAUUACUUUUACUAUCAUCCACACCAUCAUAAAGGAGCUUCUUUCCAGGCAAAUUAUUAAUCAAUGUAUCAAUGUAGUCGUGGUGAGAUAUGGCAGACCGGGGGGUGACCGAUUCUCCUAAGGCAUUUAUUUACCCUGUUUGUUUAGUCAUUCAGUAGUAUUUAUUGACUGACCCUUGAAUGCCACUGUAAUAAGCCCUGGGAUAAAAGAUGAAUACGAAAUAAUUUCUCCUCCAAGCAUAAAAUCCCUGAGCUCACCGCUGGGUAGAAGCAGACGCAUAAACUGGAAGGUCCAGUAUCUUGUGAUGGGCAUUAUGGUGGGGGAUCUUAUGGUGCUAUGGGGGCAUAUUGAAGCGCCUACCCCAGACUCUGGGGAAAGGGGUAGGUGGGUUUACGGUGGUACUUCAAAGCCCAACAGUGAAGGCAAGGAAAAUAUUUUAAUUCAGAUAACUGGGUGAAUCAUAACUCAGAAUUCUAAAUGCAUACAUUGCUAUAAAAUGAUAAUCAUGUGUUAAAGGCUGUCAUUCCAAUUUUGAGCCAAGAAAGUUCAGAGGUUCAGAACAAAACAGGUAUUUCAGAGACCUCAACAACAAACGUUGCUACAGCAGGAGUUUUCUGAGGUAAGGAUAGUGCAGCAGCAGAGUAACUAUUGUUUCUUGGAAAAGCAUAAACUAAGAGGCAACAAUCUUGGGUCUCUGUCCUGAUUUUGCUGCACACUCACUUUCUAAAGCCUAGAGUAAGCCAGUUAUCCUCCAGAGUUUGGGAAUAACAUCACAAACGUAAUGUGUUUAUCAUGAGAAUUAGAGUGUAAAGGUUAAAGUGCUUAAUAAAGCAGCACACGAAUAUUAUUAUUAAGGCUCCAGACUUUACACAUGAGCAGCCACUCCCUGAGCCUCUGGAGAUCGCUCUCCAUUCUUCUACAAGAGGAGCAGGCUUUGAUUUGCUUCUGCCUCGCAUCCAGGAGGAGCCUCCUGUGCCCUAGGAAGCUCCCUUGGCCAUCCUGCACAUCCCCAAGCCUCCAGAAGGGCCCGGCCACGUACAUGGUCCAGGUACCGCGCACAUCGGGAGGGCUUACCUGCCUUGGUGCUGCUACCAUGCACCCAGUGAAGGUCCCGUGAGAAGGAUGUGGUGUGGAUUCACUCCAAGCCUGGGAAUCCUCAGAAUUCCAAACCUUCCUCUCAGCCCACACGUGGCUGAUGAAGAGUUGCCUAAAAAGAUGCACAACAUGAGAGUUCUGAGUUAAGUUUUAUUUGGGGCAAAAUGAGGACUAUAGCCUGGGAGACAGCCUCUCAGAGAGCUCUGAGAAACUCUCCCGAAGAGGCAGGGGGAGGUCAGUAUAGAUGUGAUUUUAGUGAAGGGGGAACAUGCAGUCAAACAUGCAUUUUGAGGGCCUCCCUGGUGGCACAGUGGUUGAGAGUCCGCCUGCCGAUGCAGGGGACACGGGUUCGUGCCCCGGUCCGGGAAGAUCCCACAUGCCGCGGAGCGGCUGGGCCCGUGAGCCAUGGCCGCUGAGCCUGAGUGUCCGGAGCCUGUGCUCCGCACCGGGAGAGGCCACAGCAGUGAGAGGCCCGCGUACCGCAAAACAUAAAUGAAAAAAAAAAAACCCAUGCAUUUUGGCAGAAGGUGGCUGCUCGUCACAAGGAGCAGAUGUCUCCAUUAAUGAUUUUAGUGCUUUUCUAGAUACAAGGAGAUGCAAGAAUUGGGCUCAUAAUAUCUCCUGAGAAUAUCUAACUAUCUGAAGGCCUGUUCUGCCGGGUUUUCCCAGAGCACAGAGGGCCUCCUUCCUGCUCUCCACCCUGAGCUCCUUUCAGGGGUGUGGAAGGUCAGCGGCUGCAGCAGUUCAUGAUUUAAUCCUUGUAGAGGCAGAUGGCAAGUGCCAAUCUGUAGUUGGCAGAAGUUUAAAAGACAGGUGGGUGCCACAUCCCACACAUACUGAGUAAGGAAAAAUGCGGCAGGGAUGAAAGUACCCAGGGUCUCUGCUAGGAAGGGCUUGUCUCUUACUGGAAUUCAGUUCAGUUGGGUUUCCCUGUGUUCCUAGUUCUGGGUUGCCUUUAAACAUGCAUAUGAUUUUGUCACUUCUCUGAACUAUUCUGAUUUGUAAGGUGGGACCUCCUGCAACUCAGUACAUCCCAGCUGCUGAAGUGUCCAUUUGAAGCUGUGUCCGUGUCUGGGGUGUGGAUGGGAAUAAAUCACCCUUGGGGUCAGAAAGAAAUAAACGCCAAUUUAAAUAGUUCUCUGGGUUAAUUUUGAUUUCAUCGGUUUUACAUACACUGAAAAUAAAUGGUCUUUGCUACCGCCCAUGUUUCCACAUGAAGAGAUGCAGACCGUGUACUGCCCGAAGCUUUCAAGCCUAGGAGACAAGUGGAGGUUGAAACACAACCUCAGCUUUUUUCUCCCAGUUUAUCCUCUCAAAGGAAAAUCUGUUCUUAAUUCAUCCAUGGCUCCGUGUGCAAAGGCGAGCAGCGACCCCAGUAUCGUUGCUCUGUCUACAGAUCGAUAAACUCGUCCCCCACAUCUGGGUCCCCCACAUUAUGGCUACUUGCAAGAAUAUUGCCUAAAUUAUCUAGAAUAACUUGUCAUAUUCCAAGGCCAGUGUUGAAAAGAAAAAAAUUGACAAAGAUACAGAGAAGACCCCAGGUACUAAUGGAGGAGUCGCUGACCUCUUUAGGAAGUUUCAUGCAAUGUAGCAGAAGCAACCUUUCCAAACAAGUUUCUUUUUCAAUUUGAACUUUUUGACAAUUUCUUUGCAAUCUCAUUCCUCUGAAUGAGUGUGAGUUUUUCCCUAUUUAUUAUUUUUUGGAGCAUAUGUCCACAUAACUAUGAAAUAAAACUUGAUCCAAAAUCUUCACUUAAAUAAGAUAAAAAUGAACUUAUUUAACCAAAAAAAAAAACCA